rnacentral:rRNA from 1 species
AUUGAACGCUGGCGGCAUGCCUUACACAUGCAAGUCGAACGGUAACAGGUCUUCGGAUGCUGACGAGUGGCGAACGGGUGAGUAAUACAUCGGAACGUGCCUAGUAGUGGGGGAUAACUACUCGAAAGAGUGGCUAAUACCGCAUGAGAUCUACGGAUGAAAGCAGGGGAUCGCAAGACCUUGUGCUACUAGAGCGGCCGAUGGCAGAUUAGGUAGUUGGUGGGAUAAAAGCUUACCAAGCCGACAAUCUGUAGCUGGUCUGAGAGGACGAUCAGCCACACUGGGACUGAGACACGGCCCAGACUCCUACGGGAGGCAGCAGUGGGGAAUUUUGGACAAUGGGCGCAAGCCUGAUCCAGCAAUGCCGCGUGCAGGAUGAAGGCCUUCGGGUUGUAAACUGCUUUUGUACGGAACGAAAAGCCCCGGGUUAAUACCCUGGGGUCAUGACGGUACCGUAAGAAUGAGCACCGGCUAACUACGUGCCAGCCGCCGCCGUAA